UACGAAGGGGGCUAGCGUUGUUCGGAAUCACUGGGCGUAAAGGGAGCGUAGGCGGCGUGGUAAGUCAGAUGUGAAAUCCCGGGGCUCAACCCCGGAACUGCAUCCGAUACUGCCAUGCUAGAGGAUUGGAGAGGUAGCUGGAAUUCUUGAGUGUAGCAGUGAAAUGCGUGGAGAUCAAGAGGAACACUCGUGGCGAAAGCGAGCUACUGGACAAUAUCUGACGCUGAGGCUCGAAGGCCAGGGUAGCGAACAGG
rnacentral:rRNA from 1 species